AGGACGGCCACCCGGUAGAAGGACACCGCCGUGAGGCCGCUGGACAGGAGGGCCAGCAGCAGGGUCGCUGUCAGCAGCAGCUGCCCUUCUCUGGAGACUCGGACCCAGGGGCUUUCCUUCUGCUGGGGGAUGGGAGCACACCCCACUUUCAUGUCUUCUCCUUUCUUAAGGCAGGGGAAAAAGAGCGGCUGCUGGCUGCCUGCGGACUCGCCCGCUCCACGAUGGACACUUGGAAAGUUGGGGCCUUGGGGGUGGAAGCCUUAUUUCUUAGUAUGCAAGCAACCUCUUUUGGACCUGGCAUCAAACAAUACAGUUCUCCUGUCACCUCACUCCAGGUUCGCUGGGAUAAAGUGUUCUGAAUGACUUUGCAAUGACAAAUGGAGCUAAUUUGGGGGAUUCUAUCAAGCCUUCACAUGGCAAGUUAUUAAGACUCACUCCUGUAAUUCCAGCACACAGAAAGCUGAGGCAGGAGAAUCAUAAGUUUAAAGCCAGCCUGGACUCCAUAGUUAGAUCCUGUCUCAAAAAAGCAUGGGGAUGGGGGGCUGAAGUCUAAGGACACAGAUUUGAUUCCACAGUGCCCACAUAAGCCAGAUGCACAAAGUGGUAUAUUCUUCAGUACUGACUUUCCAGAGGAUAUCGUCUUUCUGGCUUAGAGAUGACCUCUGCCUUCCUUGGCCUGUUGAGCCGAGUAUCAUGGCUGACAUUCUCAGGACACAGCUGUGACUGCUAAGCUCAGGACGUUAUUAACAAAUUCCCAACAUGGUUCUUUCAGCAGAUGCCACUGUGCAGAAACAGCUGCUGCCCAUCGUAAAGGCCCAUCAAUGCCACUGGUGGUGAUUACAAAUGUGUGUGGCCAUGCUGCUCUUUUUCCUGGGUCCGGAGAAGUAGGACACGGCAGUCUGCAGCCUAUGAGGCCCUCGUGCUUAACACAAGUGCUGUUAACUGCUGAGUCAUCUCCAUCGCAAUCAAACUGAUGCCCACCCAGUGUUAUCCCUCCACGGAAUCCAGGACAAACCUACUCUUGCUGAUCCAUCCACCCCACCAUCAAUAGCUCAGCUGGAUCCAGGAGAAACUCUGAACCAUACGCAGGUGCUCUCCUGGGGACUCCUUGGUUUUGAAGAAGAAACACAAGAAAGAAGCACUCCUCGUUUGAUGGUUCUCUGUAGAUGCAGAGCCCGUCCCUCUGCUACUGGGGUUACCAGGAGAAGUGCUGAAGGGCUGGAGGGCAGGGUCUGAGGGACUCCGCUCUUUAAGGACACUUGGGCUGCUUGGUUCAUGAACUCAUCAUGGUCCCUGUUUGGCUCAUGAGUUUUUCUUGUUGUUUCAACCACAGUGAAAGAAGACCAGAUGCUAAGGAGCCAAUGACUCGAUUUUAAUGAACUGAUGACUAGACGUUAAUGAACUGAUGAUUCAAAUUCUGCUGGUUUGACUAUUGUGUUUCAUGCUUAUUUUUUCAAAGAAGCAAUUCUGAUUGAUUUAAUAUGUUGUUCUUUUAGUCUUAAUCUUAUUGAUUCCUGCCCUAAUCCUUAUUAUGUCUCCCUUUCCACUCUUCCUGUGUUUUCCUAGGACACCGAUAAACAUCCCUAGGUUAUUCAUAUGAA